GAGUUUGAUCCUGGCUCAGGACGAACGCUGGCGGCGUGCUUAAUACAUGCAAGUCGAGCGAGGUUACUGCGACAGAUCCCUUCGGGGUGAAGUUGCUUUAGCCUAGCGGCGGACGGGUGAGUAACGCGUGGGUAACCUACCCUAAAGUUCGGGAUAACAGCGGGAAACCGCUGCUAAUACCGGAUGCCUUUACCGUGUGGCAUCACACGGUAAAGAAAGGUAACGCUUUAGGAUGGGCCCGCGUCCCAUUAGCUAGUUGGUGAGGUAACAGCUCACCAAGGCGACGAUGGGUAGCCGGCCUGAGAGGGUGGACGGCCACACUGGGACUGAGACACGGCCCAGACUCCUACGGGAGGCAGCAGUAGGGAAUAUUGCGCAAUGGACGGAAGUCUGACGCAGCGACGCCGCGUGAGCGAUGAAGGCCUUCGGGUUGUAAAGCUCUGU
rnacentral:rRNA from 1 species